rnacentral:rRNA from 1 species
UACGAAGGGUGCAAACGUUGCUCGGAAUUAUUGGGCGUAAAGCGCACGUAGGCGGCUUUGCAAGUCGGAUGUGAAAUCCCUCGGCUUAACCAAGGAAGUGCAUCCGAAACUGCAGAGCUUGAGUACUUAAGAGGAUCGCGGAAUUCCCGGUGUAGAGGUGAAAUUCGUAGAUAUCAGGAGGAACACCGGUGGCGAAGGCGGGUCUCUGGGCAACAACUGACGCUGAGGAGCGAAAGCGUGGGGAGCGAACAGG